GACGAACGCUGGCGGCGUGCUUAACACAUGCAAGUCGAACGGAAAGGCCCUGCUUUUGUGGGGUGCUCGAGUGGCGAACGGGUGAGUAACACGUGAGUAACCUGCCCUUGACUUUGGGAUAACUUCAGGAAACUGGGGCUAAUACCGGAUAGGAGCUCCUGCUGCAUGGUGGGGGUUGGAAAGUUUCGGCGGUUGGGGAUGGAUUCGCGGCUUAUCAGCUUGUUGGUGGGGUAGUGGCUUACCAAGGCUUUGACGGGUAGCCGGCCUGAGAGGGUGACCGGCCACAUUGGGACUGAGAGAGGGCCCAGACGGCUACGGGAGGCAGCAGUGGGGAGUAUUGCACAAUGGGCGGAAGCCUGAUGCAGCAACGCCGCGUGCGGGAUGACGGCCUGCGGGUUGUAAACCGCUUUCGCCUGUGACGAAGCGGGAGUGACGGUAAUGAGUAAAGAAGCACCGGCUAACUACGCG
rnacentral:rRNA from 1 species